UUGAUUGGUCGAAAGACCUUAUCAGAUUCUACCACCUCUGUGAACCGUUUGACCUCCGGGUCUAAUAUCAAACAUCAGUGUAAUGAACGUAAAUCUUAUAACAAAACA
rnacentral:misc_RNA from 1 species